rnacentral:lncRNA from 1 species
CUACAAAAAAAUAUAUAUAUAAAUACAUAUAUCCAUUCUUUUGUUGUCCAUCGGUCAAUGUCAUUAAUUAUAUCCCUCUCCUAAAUCUAAACUAAAAAACAUAAAUAUCAAUUCACAUAAAAAAGUUGAUUUAGACUGGUCAAUUAUAGAAAACAUGUAAAGUACUAAAAUAUAUAUAUAUAUAUAGAUUAGAAAAGACAAUGAAAAUUUAGAUAAAUCUAUUUUUAAUUCAUACUUUAAAUUUUAGAUUUGGAUUGCAUGCAUGACACAUUUAUUAUUAAGAAUAAAAUAUGACAAUAUUUAAAGGUUAUUAGACAAUAUUUCAAGGUUAUUUAAUAAAAAAUAUAAUGUGAGCCGAUAAAUCUCUAUCAAAUCAAUUUAAAUUAUGUAAGUAAAUGGCAUAUCUGUUAAAAGAAAGGAAUCUUGUUACCUACAUCUUAUGACCAGUAAAUUAGAGAGAAAUUAUUAAAACAAUUAACUAAUUUCCAUUGUUAAAUUAUUUUAUCUAAAAAAUAAAAUAUUUGAAAGGGUUAGAGUAUAAAUUUAUAUUAUAAUGUAAUGUAGAGGAGUCUGAGAGGAGAAGCUUACAUAGACAGCUAUGGUAAUAAACCACUAUUAUUGUUUACUAUCUAAUAGUGGUAAGGAGGAGGAGGUGAGGAAUAGAGGUAAGGCUUCUUGGUUGGAGUUGGUGGUGGAGAGUGGUAAACUGGAUGUGGAAUGUAUGGGGGAGAAGUAUGAACUGGUGGUGGAGGUGAGUGAUAAACUGGGUGUGGAAUGUAAGGAGGUGAAGUAUAAACUGGUGGAGGUGGUGGUGAAGGAUACUUGUAUGGCUUCUUGUAUGGUGGUGGUGGUGAGUGGUAGACUGGGUGUGGAUAUGGGUGGUGGGUUGGUGGUGGUGGUGAUGGAUAUUUGUAUGGCUUUUUAGGUGAUGGUGGGGGUGAAUGGUAAACUGGGUGGGGGUGUGGAUAAGGAUGUGGGUGAGGAUGAGGGUGAGGAUGUGGGUGGGGGUGAGAUGGAGGUGGAGGAGAUGAGUACUUGUAUGGCUUUUUAUGGGGUGGGGGAGGUGAGUGGUAAACUGGGUGGGGGUGUGAUUUUGGAUGGGGUUGUGGAUAGGGAUGUGGUUUUGGAUGGGGGGGUGGAUGAGUGUAAGGGUGGGUUGGAGGGGGUGGUGAAGGAUAUUUGUAUGGCUUUUUGUGAGGAGGAGGUGGUGGAGAGUGAUAGUGAGGUUUAGGGUAGACAUGCACUGGUGGUGGAGGAGAGGAAUAUUUGUAAUGCUUUUUUGGUGGUGGUGGGGAAUGGUAAUAGGGUUUAGGGUGAACAUGAUGAACUGGUGGUGGUGGUGAAGGAUACUUGUAAGGUUUCUUCGGUGGUGGUGGAGAGUGAUAAUGGUAAGGGUGUUUUGGAGGUGAGUAAACUGGUGGUGGUGGAGAAUGGUAGUAGUAUGGUUUCUUUGUUGGUGGUGGUGGUGGUGAGGAGUAGUGGUAAGGUGGUGAAACUGGAGGGUACACCUUAGGUGGUGGUGAGACUGGGGGGUACACCUUAGGAGGUGGUGAAACUGGAGGGUAUACCUUAGGUGGUGGUGAGACUGGAGGGUAUACCUUAGGUGGUGGUGAGACUGGGGGGUAUACCUUGGGUGGUGGGGGUGAGGAAUACAAGUAAUUGUUUGCUGAAAUUUGUGAUGGGAAGGUGGUGAGAGAUAGUAUGGCUAAUAGAAGAGUUAAAGUGAUAGAGGCCAUUAGAGACCCCAUUUUUUAUGGUUACUCACAACCUCACUGGGUAUAGUGGGUUUUUGUUAUGCUCUAAGCUAAGGAAGUGUUGCCCUUUAUAUAGAUGUUUUAUUUACCUUAUUCAUCUUGCUCACUUUAUUUUCAACUUGGUUGCCAGUAAGGUGCUGCCGUUUCUUCUCCUCUUUUUGUCAC